rnacentral:rRNA from 1 species
CUCCUUUGACGUUAGCGGCGGGCGGGUGAGUAACACGUGGGUAACCUACCUAUAAGACUGGGAUAACUUCGGGAAACCGGAGCUAAUACCGGAUAAUAUUUCGAACCGCAUGGUUCGAUAGUGAAAGGUGGUUUUGCUAUCACUUAUAGAUGGACCCGCGCCGUAUUAGCUAGUUGGUAAGGUAACGGCUUACCAAGGCGACGAUACGUAGCCGACCUGAGAGGGUGAUCGGCCACACUGGAACUGAGACACGGUCCAGACUCCUACGGGAGGCAGCAGCG